UACGUAGGGGGCGAGCGUUGUCCGGAAUUAUUGGGCGUAAAGAGCUCGUAGGCGGUUUGUUGCGUCGGCCGUGAAAACCUGGGGCUUAGCUCCGGGCUUGCGGUCGAUACGGGCAGACUUGAGUUCGGCAGGGGAGACUGGAAUUCCUGGUGUAGCGGUGAAAUGCGCAGAUAUCAGGAGGAACACCGGUGGCGAAGGCGGGUCUCUGGGCCGUUACUGACGCUGAGGAGCGAAAGCGUGGGGAGCGAACAGG
rnacentral:rRNA from 1 species